GGUGGCAUAGCUCAGUGGCAUAGCGCGUGCUUAGUAUGCACGAAGUCCUGGGUUCAAUCCUGAGUACUUUCA
rnacentral:tRNA from 1 species